CACUGAAAACUACAAAACACAAUUUUUUGUGAAAAAAAUUAAAGACCUAAUUAAAUGAAAAGAUAGCCCAUGUUCAUGGACUGAGCACUUGCUACAGUUAAGAUGGCGGUGCUCCCCAAAGUUGUAUAUAGAUUCAAUACAUUUCCUAUAAAGACAACAUUGGCCUUUUUUUUUUUUUUUAGUGGACAUAGAAAAGAACCUCAAAUUCAUAUGGAACCACAAUGGCUCAUGAAUAGUCCAAACAAUAUUGAAAAAGAAAAACAAAGUUGGAGAGUUCAUAUGUCUUGACUUCAGAACUUACUACAAAGUCUUAUUAAUCACAAGUGUGGUAGUGCCAUAAGGAUAGACCAAUGGAAUAAAACCAAGACAACAAAAUAACCCAAAUAUCUAUAGCCAACUGGUUUUUGACAAAGGUGCCAAGACCAUUCAGCGAGGAAGGAAUUUGUUAGUAUCUUCAACAAAUGAUGCUGGGAUAACUGGAUAGCCACACACAUAAGAACAAAGUUGGACCCUGUGAUGAUUAAUUUUGUGUGUCAACUUGCCUAGGCCACAGUACCCAGAUAUUUGGUCAAAUGCCAGUUUGGAUGUUGCUGGAAGGUAUUUUUAAGAUGAGAUUAACAAAUCAGUGGAUCCAGAGUAAUGGAGUUUACCCUUCAUAAUGUGGGUGGGCCUCAUCCAGUCAGUUGAGGGCCUUAAGAGAAAACAGACCUAGUUCCCCAAGUGAGAGGGAAUUCUACCUCCAGACUGUGUUCAGAUUCAAACCUCAGUAUCAACUCUUCCCUGAGUCUCUGGGUCUCUAGCCUGCGCACUCACUCUGCAGAUUUUGGAUGUGGCCACCAUCCACAAUUGUGUGAACCAGUUACUUAAAAUAAC